rnacentral:rRNA from 1 species
GAUCAGUGGCUACAGAACGAACGCUGGCGGCAGGCCUAACACAUGCAAGUCGAACGGGACCUUCGGGUCUAGUGGCGGACGGGUGAGUAACGCGUGGGAACGUGCCCUUUGGUUCGGAAUAGCCUCGGGAAACUGGGAGUAAUACCGGAUACGGUCGAGAGACGAAAGAUUUAUCGCCGAAGGAUCGGCCCGCGUUGGAUUAGGUAGUUGGUGAGGUAAAGGCUCACCAAGGCGACGAUCUGUAGCUGGUCUGAGAGGACGACCAGCCACACUGGGACUGAGACACGGCCCAGACUCCUACGGGAGGCAGCAGUGGGGAAUUUUGGACAAUGGGCGCAAGCCUGAUCCAGCAAUGCCGCGUGCAGGAUGAAGGCCUUCGGGUUGUAAACUGCUUUUGUACGGAACGAAACGGUGAGCUCUAAUACAGCUUGCUAAUGACGGUACCGUAAGAAUAAGCACCGGCUAACUACGUG